rnacentral:pre_miRNA from 1 species
CUCUGGCGCGGCAGUCAGAAUUCGGGACAAGCCCGGAGCGGUUGCUUGUCCCGAAUUUUGACUCGGCCAAAA